UACGGGGGGGGCAAGCGUUGUUCGGAAUUACUGGGCGUAAAGCGUGCGCAGGCGGUUUCUUAAGUCAGAUGUGAAAGCCCCGGGCUUAACCUGGGAACUGCGUUUGAAACUGGGAGACUUGAGUGUGGCAGAGGGGGGUGGAAUUCCGACGUGUAGCAGUGAAAUGCGUAGAUAUGUGGAGGAACACCGAUGGCGAAGGCAGCCCCCUGGGUUAACACUGACGCUCAUGCACGAAAGCGUGGGGAGCAAACAGG
rnacentral:rRNA from 1 species